UCCCGGAGCCGGGCAUCCGCUUUGGUCGUUCUCUCAGACGCCGUGCCCUGUGCACGCUCUGCAGGGUCUUCCCGAGAGGAAAGUCCGGACACCUCAGGGCAGGAUUCCCUGUGAAAGCAGGGGCGCCUUCGUUCAAGCGGAGGUGACGGAUAGUGUCGCAGAAAAUAUACCGCCUCUGGCUUCGGCCAGGGGUAAGGGUGAAAUGGUGGGGUAAGAGCCCACCGCCGGGCGAGUAAUCGUCCGGGCAGGAUAAACCCAAUCCGGUGCAAGACAGAAUAGGGGACAGAGCGGCCCGCUCGAUUGUCCCGGGUUAGUCGCACGCGCUCUGCGCGGCUCCCGUUCGCGGGAGCAGAUAAAUGGAUGCCCAGGCUCCUUCGGGAGCCGGACAAAAUCCGGCUUACAGGCUCCGGGACCGA
rnacentral:RNase_P_RNA from 1 species